AUUGAACGCUGGCGGCAUGCCUUACACAUGCAAGUCGAACGGCAGCACGGGGCAACCUGGUGGCGAGUGGCGAACGGGUGAGUAAUGCAUCGGAACGUACCUUUCAGUGGGGGAUAACGUAGCGAAAGUUACGCUAAUACCGCAUAUUCUGUGAGCAGGAAAGCAGGGGAUCGCAAGACCUUGCGCUGAUUGAGCGGCCGAUGUCAGAUUAGCUAGUUGGUGAGGUAAAGGCUCACCAAGGCGACGAUCUGUAGCGGGUCUGAGAGGAUGAUCCGCAACACUGGAACUGAGACACGGUCCAGACUCCUACGGGAGGCAGCAGUGGGGAAUUUUGGAUAAUGGGGCAACCCUGAUCCAGCCAUGCCGCGUGAGUGAAGAAGGCCUUCGGGUUGUAAAGCUCUUUCGGCCGGGAAGAAAUCGCACGGGCUAAUACCCUGUGUGGAUGACGGUACCGGAAUAAGAAGCACCGGCUAACUACGUGCCAGCAGCCGCCGUAAUAC
rnacentral:rRNA from 1 species